UACGGAGGGUGCGAGCGUUAAUCGGAAUUACUGGGCGUAAAGCGCACGCAGGCGGUUUGUUAAGCUAGAUGUGAAAGCCCCGGGCUCAACCUGGGAUGGUCAUUUAGAACUGGCAGACUAGAGUCUUGGAGAGGGGAGUGGAAUUCCAGGUGUAGCGGUGAAAUGCGUAGAUAUCUGGAGGAACAUCAGUGGCGAAGGCGACUCCCUGGCCAAAGACUGACGCUCAUGUGCGAAAGUGUGGGUAGCGAGCAGC
rnacentral:rRNA from 1 species